AAGUUUCAAUGCUAUUCUUUUGUGUUUCUAUUAAGCCAGUUGCACAGUCUAUUUAUAUAAGUCUGGAUGUAAAUCAUUCGCUUCUAUUAAACGCAAUACUGACAGAGCUUGUUAACAACGAGUCCGACAGAACUUUGUUUACUUUACUGCGUGAUGAUAGAAUAAACAUCGCUCGCAACUAUUGUAAAAGUAUAUAGUAUCCGGGAGUGCCAAAAAAAAGUAUCGGGAGUGUCGAGAGAAGUAUGUAUAGGACGUCUGUUGUAUUAGGCGUAAAUACUGUAAGUCACACCGUAAAAUGAAAACGGGAGUGCCGACAGUGAAAAAAAGUAUCGACAGUGUCGAGAAAAAUAUCAACAGUGCCAAGAAAAAUAUCAGAAAUGCUGAAAAACUAUUGGUGACUGCUUCAUUAUGCGGAGGCUGUUGAGUCGGAUACAUGUGCAAAUGCGAAUAAUUUUUUCAUUCAAGAUAAAAAAUAGGAAAAAAAUUGGAUGUAACGGAUAGUAUGAUUACGGGCUGACUCGGCAAAAUUUUCGACUAAACUUCAAGCGUUAGUGCGACCGCAAACUUUCGUUAUUUAUAGGCCAACCUGAGUCUCUUCUGAAGUGCGUUCACCGCGCGAUUGCAGCCAAAUUCCAGCGUUUAUUAUGUUACGCUACGCGUAAUGUUACGUUGUGCAAAGUAAAUCGCGUAACCGAUUUUAUUCGCACAUGUGGCCCGUAUAUUAUCACUAAUAAAUUUAUAGGUAUCGUAUUAGAAAGUACAUUACAUAUUUUAAUUUAAAUUUGAUAUAGAAUAUUUAAAAUACCAUCAUAUAAAGGGGAAACUAUAAAAUUUGUGUCAUGACAUAUAUGUAUAUAUAUGGCAGUAUGAUCAUGAUUUUUUACAAAUAUACUAUAU